UACGUAGGGUGCAAGCGUUAAUCGGAAUUACUGGGCGUAAAGCGUGCGCAGGCGGUUUUGUAAGUCUGACGUGAAAUCCCCCGGCUUAACCUGGGAACUGCGUCUGAUACUGGGAAGGCUUGAGUAUGGGAGAGGGAUGUAGAAUUCCAGGUGUAGCGGUGAAAUGCGUAGAUAUCUGGAGGAAUACCGGUGGCGAAGGCGGCAUCCUGGACCAUUACUGACGCUGAGGCGCGAAAGCUAGGGGAGCAAACGGG
rnacentral:rRNA from 1 species